UUGGAGUGUCCAGUCAUCAGAAGCAGAGCUCUGGGACGUGUGGACACUGGACAGACAUUCACUGUAAUGAUGGACUUCUGCUGAUGGACGGGCUCUACAGGCAGGUGGCAGGUCAAACUCAUGCAAGUGGGCGGAGCCACUGAAUCUGCAGCUGUGACAGAGAUGAAACUGGACAUCCCACGCUCGUCUGAAAGAGAUGGAGUUAUGUAGGAUUCCAGUCACAAAUCCUGAAAAGUUGAGAACUCGUAUCGUGUUUUACUUAUAAAUAGAGCAGUGUUGCACUAUAUUCAGGUUUUGAGAAAAAAAUAUCCAGAUACAACAUUUAUAUAUGAAAUAUAGUGAUUUGCUAAGGUUCAUCAUACAUACAUCAUGAAUAUAUCAGACACUAAAUCAUAUAUCAAAUCU